rnacentral:lncRNA from 1 species
AGUCAUUCUGUGGAACUUCCUCUGUGUCUCUCACUGGAGCCGCCUAACUUCCUCUCCCACCUCCCUUCAUCAAGGAGCAGUCUCAUGCCCAGGAGCUAGAAAUGUAGGCUUUGCCGGCAUUGGUUGAGCUGUGCUGGGCCCUAGGCAGCGAUGACUCAAACUUGACCCUUAACCCCCAGGCAGGGGUCUCCCUCCCUCCCCGUCCUUAAGUGGGGCGGGCACUUAGCCCAGGGUGGUGAUAUGACCCAGUCCUAUCCAAUCACCAUGGUCCCGCCUCCUGGCUACCACAAUUGGCUCAGGGAUGAGCACGUGGCCCAUAGCAGCCCAGUGAGAGUCAGCCCUGGGUGGGAACUGGUGGGAAAGAAUUCUGCUGGAGCAUCUGGAGUUGCUCAAAUGGAGUGGCUGUGGCCAUCUUUCCUUACACGUGGGGAGGAAUCAGCCUGAGAAUGAAACCAUCACAGGAAAGGGCUGAAAGACGGCAAGUUUUCACUGGGUCUUACCCGACGUGAGCCCCCACUCCUCCAUAUGGACCUGUUUUGGACCAAUGAGGCAUCCUCUUCUGUAGUCCUCAACACGCGGAGCUCCACCACUCCUGAGCAGUGUGACCUCAGGUGCUUGCUGCAGAGGCAUCGGGGGUCUCUGGCCAGAGGUGACAUCUGAAGCAAUCGGGAUCCUGUUUGGUUUUGCCACAUCCGACCUGCCGCCCAGCUGGGGCAAGACAGCCACGCGCGGCGGAUGCACCGGCCCUGAACUCUUUCUCGAGUAGUCCCCAGAGAUUUCAGGAAGAGAGAGAAGAGGUAAAGAGACCAGAAACAAAGUCUUCUGCAAGCAAAGAACUGCAACAGGCCCCAGCUGUUAGGUUUGAGGGGCGUAUGGGGCAGGCGACUGAACUGCAGAGUUGGAGCCAGAGGUACCAUUGCUGACCCCUGAGCCCAGGAGCCUUGAGAAUACUGACAGUGUUAAUAAUAACUGCAAUCAUCCAACAUAUGAUGCUAGAAUAACUGGACAUCUGUGUGCAAAAAUAUUAAACCUAUACCUUGCACCUUAUCACAAAA